UACGUAGGGUGCGAGCGUUGUCCGGAAUUACUGGGCGUAAAGCGCACGUAGGCGGCUUUGUAAGUUAGAGGUGAAAGCCCCAGGGCUCAACCCUGGAAUUGCCUUUAAGACUGCAUCGCUUGAACAUCGGAGAGGUAAGUGGAAUUCCGAGUGUAGAGGUGAAAUUCGUAGAUAUUCGGAAGAACACCAGUGGCGAAGGCGACUUACUGGACGAUUGUUGACGCUGAGGUGCGAAAGCGUGGGGAGCAAACAGG
rnacentral:rRNA from 1 species